rnacentral:rRNA from 1 species
AUGGCGACCGGCGCACGGGUGAGUAACACGUAUGCAACCUGCCCUCCGCAGGGGGAUAACCCGGAGAAAUCCGGACUAAUACCGCGUGGUACACCAGUGGGGCAUCCCACGGGUGUUAAAAGGAAGCGAUUCCGGCGGAGGAUGGGCAUGCGGCGCAUUAGCUUGUUGGCGGGGUAACGGCCCACCAAGGCGACGAUGCGUAGGGGUUCUGAGAGGAAGGUCCCCCACACUGGUACUGAGACACGGACCAGACUCCUACGGGAGGCAGCAG